rnacentral:lncRNA from 10 species
CCCAGUUCUCCCUUAAAAAUACUUGGGGGAAGAAAGUGCUUGACUACUCACAGUCCUGUGAUGACCUGUGGCGGAAGGUAAACCGAAGGUGACUGCGGUUAACGUCCUCGAUGGGAAUGGCCACCUUCAAGAAUUGAAAAAGAAGUUUAAGCACUGUUAUCAAUAUCAUCCAGCGUAACAGCUUUAUUCAACUGGAGCUAUCAGAGAAAUAUGCAACUGCGAAGUUCUCACGGGAGAAGUCCUGAGCACACUGCAAGGCAUCCUGGGACCACAGUCUCAAGGGUCACAGAGGAAGGGACUUCGGGGCUGAGACCUGCAGGAAGUGAGGGAACUGCAGGCCUGUCCUCACCCAGGGGAGGUGGAGCCCCCAGACGCUGUGAUAUGAAAUUCCAGAUCAUGGGAGGGAGAGUUUGAAGAAGGAAGAACCACCAAUAGAAAGCGGUCCCCAAAGAGGUAUCGGGGAUGGCACCCAGACAGGAGCACAUGUACCACUGCCCAGAAUGUGCAUUUCACUAGACAAGUGACCACAAAAGUUUUCACUGUGACUUGAAAAUGCCCACUCCUCCCAGAAGUUCAAGGAACUGGACCCCCGGACAUGAGCCCAAGGUUCGCCGGCUUCAAAGAUCCUGGCCACACACCAGUGAGCCUGGCAGAGGCAGGCUUCUGGUCCUCUUUCCCAGUGAUUUCCUGCUGGCCUGACACCAAACUCCACUUUCCCUGAAUGACUCUAAUAAAAGUUUAUCAAAACUC